rfam:Phlebiopsis gigantea 11061_1 CR5-6 unplaced genomic scaffold PHLGIscaffold_68, whole genome shotgun sequence.
GGCCCAAUGGUCUAGUGGCAAGAUACUUGCUUUGGGUUGGUCUCAAUUGCAAGGGAUCCCGGGUUCGAAUCCCGGUUGGGCCC